CUGACCGGACCCACAUGGUGCACGUUUCAGGCCAUCCCCGGCGCGACGAACUGCGCGACAUGAUCUCGUGGGUUCGCCCGCAACUGCUGAUCCCGGCGCAUGGCGAGGCGCUGCAUCUGUCCGAGCAUGCCANNNNNGCGCGCGAGUGCGGCGUGCCGAAGGUCUUGAUCUGCAAGAACGGCGAUCUGGUGCGGCUGGGUCCGGGCGAUCCCGCGAUCAUCGAGGAACUGCCCCCCGGGCGGGUCU
rnacentral:misc_RNA from 1 species